rnacentral:piRNA from 1 species
UAAAGGACAACCUUCAGUUCAUGG